GUUGGCAGCAACAGGAGGAGUGUCUCAUAGCCAUUUCACAACAAUCAGGUUCUCAAACAUUUAUUAAUCUUUUAUUAAUUUAUUAAUUUUGCACAUUUUCUUUUCCAGAGAAAACCCAUCUCUGUCCUUCAUGAACUGUCACUAAAAGAACUCACUGUUUCUUAAAAGGAGAAACCAUGGUGGUUCUUGACAGCGUUGGGAGAAGAUCUAUGUCUCAAGCUGAUGCUGUGGCCUGUGUCUAACUGAACCACAGUUUAAAUGUUUCAGCAAAACUUGACAUAUUACUUGACAGUGAACCAGAUGAGGACCCCCAGAUGUUGUCCUCUCCAAAACACCCCUAUA